CCAGUUCGUGUUUUUGAUCUUUUCGUUUAUUUUAAACUUUUCACAUUUUAGUUUUACAGAGUUGUCUAUAAUCUCCCUUUCAUUGUAAAUUUGAGUGAUUAGUCAAGCAUUUGAAUUCCCGCUGUUUUUGAACCAAUUAUUGUGGUCAUGUGAUAUAGUGUUCACUCUUGCACAAGUCUUGGUACUGAGAAGUCAAAUGUGAACUAGCUUUGCUGAACUUUAUUAAUUUUAUUAUAACUAUUUUGGUGUUUCUUGGAAAUUGAAGGUUGAGUUAAUAGAGCACAGUAAGAGUCAGUGAGAGAAACAGAGGUGUAUUACCUAUACAGUAUAUGAAACCUGAUCCACAAUUGGGUUUGAGAAAUAUAUAUAUAGUAUACUCGAUCACAGCCUUUUGUUGUAUUGGACCCUUAUACUGACUGCUGGCUGGGGCCAGUGUGGUUGGCCAUUACUUUUAUGUACGUACAUGGGCUGGAGCCCACCUGGUCACACAUAGAUAAAGUGGACAAAUAA